UGGUACGGUACCGGUGGUGCCUACACUGAUCAAGAACCAGAACUUCCCUAUCAUUCUCGAAUCGAUCAUCGCCUCGCGUGUUCCUAUUUCCGUAUUUCGUCCUUAAGCCUUAUCCCUUAAGUAAUCGAAAACAUCCUACUUAAUUCUCCUUCUCCUCCUUCUCCAAUCGCCUCGGCACGCUCAUUCUGAAGACUCUUGGAUUUGUUUCGAAGAUGUGGGGUCAAUCUUAUGGGAAAUACGAUUUGGAAUCCGGCGCCGACCUGCUGUAUCCUAUGAUGCAGGAGAGUCCGGCGCUCCGAUGGUCGUUUAUUCGCAAAAUUUAUACAAUUAUUAGUCUGCAGUUGCUUCUAACCGUUGCGGUCGCUGCGAUUGUUGUUACUGUGCCUCCAAUUACAGUUUUCUUCGCCACCACCACGGCUGGCUUGGCGCUUCACAUUCUUCUCAUAGUCGCCCCCUUUGUUGUACUCUGCCCUCUACAUUACUAUCAUCAGCGGCAUCCUCUGAAUUAUUUCCUGCUUGGACUGUUCACUGCUACGCUUGCAUUUGCGAUUGGGUUGACUUGUGCCUACACUAGUGGGAAAGUUAUUCUGGAGUCUGUCAUCUUGACUACUGUUGUCGUUGUCAGUCUCACUCUGUACACAUUCUGGGCUGCCAAGAGAGGCCAAGAUUUUAAUUUCUUGGGACCGUUCUUGUUUGGGGCUGUCAUGGUGCUUUUAUUGUUUGGGCUGAUUCAGAUGUUCUUCCCCCUUGGUAAAAUAAGUGUGAUGAUCUACGGUUGCCUGGCAUCCAUAAUAUUCUGUGGGUACAUUCUUUAUGACACUGAUAAUCUUAUCAAGCGAUACACCUAUGAUGAGUAUAUCUGGGCCUCUGUUGCACUGUACCUAGACAUCAUCAACCUAUUUCUAUCUCUGUUGACCCUUUUUAAUGCUUCAGAGUCCUAGAACAAUGGAACAGGUUGUGCUGACUGCUGAGUCAUCCGGAAUUCAGAAAUUUCAAUGCUUAUAUCUUAGUGCAAGUGCAAGUGCAAGUGCAAUUGCAACAAGCAAGGAGUCUCUGAAUGUUAGGUUGUGAUUAAUGAUUUAUAUAUAUAAAAGUUAGUGGGUGUGCUGUUAUGAUAUCAAUAGUGAUCCCUUUGUCUUGGUCUGGCCGUAGCCGCAUGCAGCCAGCAGUAAUAUAUAUAUAUAUACUUUGACAAGGUAGAUGGCCUUACUCCAUUACAUGCUAACAUUUUGUCUAGUUUCACUCAACUACUACUACUAAACCCCUAUUAAGGUUGUCUCUGAGAGUCCUUCAUCCUUAUGUUGUGUAUGUGAGUCGCCUGAGGUGGAAAUAGAUAGUUAAUUUUGAAUUGAACUUGUAAAUGAGAGAGACAGUCAUUGAUUGAUGAGAGGGAGGGCUAGGCCUUGUUAAUACCAUCACCAUCACCAUCACGUAUUAAUUAAUGAAUUUAUUCACUUCUCUUCUAUGUAUAUAUAUAUAUAUAUAUAUAGAUUUGUGGUGUUCUGGGACUCUUUAAGAGUGAGUGGGCGAGGGAGGGAGGGAGGCAUCGGAGUUGCAUCAUAUCUCAUCAUACAGGCUGCAGAAUGAUUGAUUGAUUGCCUUUCUUGCUGAGUGAAAGAUUCAUUCGUUUAUUAUACCUUCACAUGAAUGAAUUAAUUCUCACAUAACAUUCACCAGCUCCCACAUUGCUACAUGCACAUUAAUAACCAAUUCCAUCCUCCGUCUUCGUCUUCUCCCUCUCCUCCUUGCCUUGUGCCUCGCAACCAUGCAGCUAUGUAUAUCGUUUCUUAUUUACUUCAUUUAAUUUCUAGCUUGCUUAAUUUCGCCCUUCUCGACUACUAAUUAAUUCUCUUCUCACCUUUAUAUGUACCACUGCUAGCUCUUCAAUCUUGAUAUACACGUUAGGGUUUACAGUGGAUUAUCUUCUAUGUAUGGACGCAUAUGCAGUAGGGUUUAUGCAUGGCAGCGACGCAACAACGGUGGUGUGCAGUGCGGUGUGGUGUGGUGUUCCUUUACUGCCUUCAGCACCGCCAGCUAAUCAGGAUUAGGAUUGAUAUUCCAGACACGCCAUAUAUUAACCUAAUAUCAUAUCAUUUUUGUUUUUGUUUUUAUUUUUUGUGGACAAAUUAAUUCAUUCAUUCAUUCAUUUUACAAGAGUUUU